UGGCGGCGUGCUAACACAUGCAAGUCGAACGAGGCACCUUGCAGAAGUUUCGGAUGGAAGCGGAGGCGACCGAGUGGCGGACGGGUGAGUAACGCGUGGGGAACCUGCCCCAUUCCGGGGGAUACCAGUUGGAAACGACUGUUAAUACCGCAUAAGCGCACGGAAGGACAUCCUUUUGUGUGAAAAACUGAGGUGGAAUGGGAUGGCCCCGCGUCUGAUUAGCCAGUUGGCAGGGUAACGGCCUACCAAAGCGACGAUCAGUAGCCGGCCUGAGAGGGCGACCGGCCACAUUGGGACUGAGACACGGCCCAAACUCCUACGGGAGGCAGCAGUGGGGAAUAUUGCACAAUGGGGGAAACCCUGAUGCAGCGAACCGCCGCGUGAGUGAAGAAGUAUUUCGGUAUGUAAAGCUCUAUCAGCAGGGAAGAAGAUGACGGUACCUGCACAAGAAGCCCCGGCUAACUACGUGCCAGCCGCUGC
rnacentral:rRNA from 1 species